AUAAACGAUCAGGUUGAGAGGUGAGCAGAGGUGAAACUGAAGAGGUGACUCAACAAAGGCCUUUUAAAUCACAUUAAGGCCUUGAACCUGAAGGCAGCAGAGUAACAUUGAAAUGUUCUAACUCAAGAGUAACAUCACAUUAUAGGAUUGCCUUUCUGGAACCAUAAUUUUCACUGCAGUGUGGCGAAUAGGCUGAAAGAGAGGGAGGAAGACCAGAAGGGAAGCUAUCGAACAUACCAGCAGGAGGAAAAUAUGUGGCUGUUAAAUCAAGUUAAGCCAUCACUACAUGAAGUGCUUAUCCCCAUGAACAACUAAUGGAUUACAUGGUUCAAAUGACUACAAACUAAACUCACUAAAAAGGCAAAAUAAAAUUAAAAA